rnacentral:rRNA from 1 species
GUCUACGGCCAUACCACCCUGAACAAGCCCGAUCCCAUCUGAUCUCGAAAGCUAAGCAAGGUUGGGCCUGGUUAGUACUUGGAUGGGAGACCACCUAGGAAUACUAGGUGCUGUAGGCG